ACGGGAGGCAGCAGUAGGGAAUAUUGCACAAUGGGGGAAACCCUGAUGCAGCGACGCCGCGUGAGUGAUGAAGUAUUUCGGUAUGUAAAGCUCUAUCAGCAGGGAAGAUAAUGACGGUACCUGACUAAGAAGCCCCGGCUAACUACGUGCCAGCAGCCGCGGUAAUACGUAGGGGGCAAGCGUUAUCCGGAUUUACUGGGUGUAAAGGGAGUGUAGGUGGUUUGGCAAGCCAGAUGUGAAAGCCCGGGGCUCAACCCCGCGGACUGCAUUUGGAACUGUUAAACUUGAGUGCAGGAGAGGAAAGUGGAAUUCCUAGUGUAGCGGUGAAAUGCGUAGAUAUUAGGAGGAACACCAGUGGCGAAGGCGGCUUUCUGGACUGUAACUGACACUGAGGCUCGAAAGCGUGGGGAGCAAACAGGAUUAGAUACCCUGGUA
rnacentral:rRNA from 2 species